rnacentral:rRNA from 1 species
UAACAUAGUGGCGGACGGGUGAGUAACGCGUGAGAAUCUGCCUUCAGGACGGAGACAACAGUUGGAAACGACUGCUAAGCCCCGAUGAACCGAAAGGGAAAAUAUUUAUAGCCUGAAGAUGAGCUCGCGUCCGAUUAGCUAGUUGGGGGGGGUAAAGGCCCACCAAGGCGACGAUCGGUAGCUGGUCUGAGAGGACGAUCAGCCACACUGGGACUGAGACACGGCCCAG